GGGGGCAACCCUGAUCCAGCAAUGCCGCGUGUGUGAAGAAGGCCUUCGGGUUGUAAAGCACUUUUGUCCGGAAAGAAAUCGCCUGGGUUAAUACCCUGGGUGGAUGACGGUACUGGAAGAAUAAGCACCGGCUAACUACGUGCCAGCAGCCGCGGUAAUACGUAGGGUGCGAGCGUUAAUCGGAAUUACUGGGCGUAAAGCGUGCGCAGGCGGUUGUGCAAGACAGAUGUGAAAUCCCCGGGCUUAACCUGGGAAUGGCAUUUGUGACUGCACGGCUAGAGUGUGUCAGAGGGGGGUAGAAUUCCACGUGUAGCAGUGAAAUGCGUAGAUAUGUGGAGGAACACCGAUGGCGAAGGCAGCCCCCUGGGAUAACACUGACGCUCAUGCACGAAAGCGUGGGGAGCAAACAGGAUUAGAUACCCUGGUAGUCCACGCCCUAAACGAUGUCAACUAGUUGUCGGGGAUUAAUUUCCUUGGUAACGCAGCUAACGCGUGAAGUUGACCGCCUGGGGAGUACGGUCGCAAGAUUAAAACUCA
rnacentral:rRNA from 1 species